rnacentral:lncRNA from 1 species
CACCUGCGACAUAUGGAGGUUCCCAGUCUAGGGGUCCAAUCAGAGCUGUAGCUGCCAGGCCUACACCACAGCCACAGCAACGCUGGAUCUGAGCUGCAUCUGUGACCUAUACUACAGCUCACGGCAACACCAGAUCCUUAACCCACUGAACAAGGCCAGAGAUCCAACCUGUGUCCUCAUGGAUACUAGUCAGAUUCAUUUCCACUGAGCCAUGAUAGGAACUCCCUAAUAUUUUUUUAGGUGCUUUAAAUCCAGGAAAUAUUAUUUAAGCAUUAGCAGAUGACUCACAAAAAAAAUUUUGUGAAACCUUCUUAUGACCUGAGCUCGUACAUGCCAGCCAGUAAGACACCACUUUGUAGAACAAAGAGCUUGAGUGCUGCAGCAAGAUCAAAGGAGAAUGUGUAAUAAAUUACAGGGGAAGUCACACCUCAUGCCACUUCCGUCAUUGCUCUCCACAUGUCAUUUAAAAUGCAAUUCCCUUUGAAUGGGCACAGAGCAGUUCUAUUACCAAAUAGGACUGCUUUUACUACCAGCAGCAGUUUAAUGAUUUUAUGUCAUUGCAAUAAUAGAAACAUGACAUUCAACUGUGACUACAGCUUGUAGGAUCUAUUUUUGGAAAGCUGAUUUUGUAGAGGACACAGAAAUGUGGACUCUUGGUUCCUGUUUAUUUCCCCGAAGGCUGAGCCAGUAACUCUCCCACAUCCGUCCCCUCCAUGGAGUGGACCCUUCUUGACUUUCUAAAAUGAGUGUGGUGAUCUGAAGUCUCAAACAAUGAUGGUUCACAGAUAAAAACCCUUCUUUCGAGUCUUGGGCCUGAAUCCAAUUUUUCCAUCAGAGGAAGCACCCCUUAUGGAGUAGUUCGAUGCCUGAGUCCUUACACUUGAUGGAGAAGCACACAAACAACAAUAACAAAAGUACAUGUUCUUUCUCAGUGGAUGGAGGACAUUGCCUUGUAUCUUUCACAGAUAAAUUUGAAGGGAUGGGUCAUAAACUCCCUCAUUGUCCUUCUCUCACACGUAAACACUAUCACUGUCAGCGCACAUUCAACUUUCUUCUAAUUGCAGACAAGGAUUCUCUCUUGCUUGGCCAACUCUUCCACCUGUGGGUUUUUUGUUUUGUUUUGUUUUGGUUUGGUUUUUUUGGCUUUUGUCUUUUUAGGGCCGCACCCAUGGCAUAUGGAGGUUCCUAGGCGAGGGGUCAAAUCAGAGCGACAGCUGCGGGCCUACACCACAGCCACAGCCACGCCAGAUCUGACUGCAUCUGAUCCUGCUCACAGCAAUGCAGGAUCCUCAACACACUGAGCGAGGCCAGCAAUUGAAGCCGCAACCUCAUGGUUCCUAGUUGGAUUUGUUUCCGCUGCACCAAGACGGGAACUCCCACCUGUGUUCUUGAGUCCCAUCCCUACUGUCUCUUCUAGGACCUUAAUCCAUCCGUGCCCUACUUUUGCACCUAUGUUUUUCACCUUCCCCCUCACUAUUGGACCUUUCCUUUCAGUGUGUUAACAUGCCCGGAUACCACCAUUACACACACACACACACACACACACACACACACACACACACACACACACACACACACACCCUCUGUCUACGUCUAGUCACUGACCCAUUUUUCUCCACAACCAAACUACUUAAAAUACUUCCCAUUUGCAGCCUGCCGUUUUUAAAACUCCUGUUUUCUCUCUUGCUUCUAUAAAUAAGUAGGUGAUUUUUCCUUGCCUUCUUGUUUCAAACAAUAUACUGCAAGCUUUUUCUUAUCAGUCCGACUUUUUCCGGCUCUAACCCAUAGUUUCCAGCUCUCACCAAGCUUCCCAAACUGCUCAUCAGUGACCUCAUUAGAGUUAAAUCCAAUGGUCACUAUCAGUAAUUUGAACAUUUUGCUUGCAUGUGAAACACGUGAUACCUCUUUUCCCUUUUUAAAAAUUUUCUUUUCUUGGUUUGAUGCUGCUGCAUGAAAUAACCUAUUUAAUUUCCAACAGUUUCCAUAUAUUUCCUCCAAGUACUGUACCAUACACUUCAUACUGUUAAAACAACCCUGAAAGGAAGGGAAUAUCAUAAUAUUGUACACAUUUAAAAAUUAAACAAGUGGAACCUAAAGAACUGGAAUGAUUUUACCCAAGUUACAUAGUAAUUAUGAAGAAUGGGAGAAGAACACAGUUCAUUCUGAUACCAAUGUACAUCUGUAAACUUGUUACUAUGGUAAUUACAUAUUUAAAACUUACAGAAAUAUACUGAUUGUUACAAUUAACAAAUCCUGCUUAUCCACAGAUUUAAUACGUUAUUUUGCUCUAUUGGAUUAUUUUUCCAGAAGUGAUACAUUGGAAAAGAUUUAAAGCCCAAUUUGUAAUUCUCCCAAAUUUUAUCCCCUUUGCUCCACAGAGGAAACCAUUUUACCCUAGUUGGUCUUUAUCUUUUACAUCCAAAUUAUUUAUCCUGCUGUUAGACUGAUACCAACUUCUUUAUCCCUUCCUCCUUUUCCUUUUCUUUGACUGAAUAUUGAAUAGUCUUUCUCUUCUGUUGGUGUUCACUUGUAAAUUUUAAACAUGUACACUUAAGGCAUCCCCUGGGUGCCUAAUGGUUAAGGUCUGGUGUUGUCACUGCUGUGGCUCGGGUUUGAUCCCUGGCCUGGGAACUUUGACAUGCCAAAGUCAGAGCCAAAAACAAACCUCAAAACAAAGAUGCCUUCAGAGUGUAUUUACAAUAAACUUCUUUCUAUAAUCUACCACAUGAAAUUGUCUUGUUUGUGUCUUGUAAAAUACCAGGUCUAAAAUGUCCAAGAAAUUAAUAAUAUUCAUCAUCUAUGUGUCUAUCAACCUGCAUUCUAACUGUCCAUGUUUGCAUACAUUCACCUAUGCAUUUAUCAAAGUAUUUCCUAACCAUCUCAUCCUUAUUUAGAAAGGAGGGUAUUCAAUUUCCUCUUCCUGAUUUUCAUGCUCUGGUUUUGCUUUGUUUUGUUUUGGCGAGAGUCUAUGAAUCAUUCAUUGUCACAGCAUUGUUAUGAUUAUUUUAAAGAUUUAGAUUCACCCCUGAAUUACACUUUGACUAAGUAUCGAAUUCUAGGUUGAUAAGUAUUUCACAUCUACUCUUAUCAUUCGUUAGGUUUCUUAUCUCCAUCAUGACUGUGAGACAUCUUCUGUGAUUUUAAUUUUUAUUCCUUUGAUUGUAAUAUAUAUUUCAUCUUUGAUUGCUUUCAAGAUUUUUUCUGAUUAUGUGAGUUCUGAAGCUUUAUGGCAAUAUAUCUAGUGCAGAUUUGUGUUUGAUCAUUCUGUCAAGUAUGUGCUAUACUUUAGAACAAUCAUUCUAAAGAUUGAUAUCUCUUUUCAGUCCAGGAAAAUCAUAAGCCAAUGUGUCUUUCAUUUUUCUUUCUCCUCCCUUUCUAAAAAUUAUCUUGUAUGUUUCCUGUAGUAUGUUAUUUUAUAUUCUUUGUAUUUUUACACCCAUGCUGCAUGUCUGAUUAACUUAAUCAGAUCUAUUUCCAACUUACUUACACUUACUUACACUUAUCUACAUGUUUACCAAAUGCAUUUGCUCACAAUCUCUGAACCAUAUCACUUAUAUGUCCCUAGCUCAAGACUGGGGUCCUUCUUCAAGGUUAUUAUUUUUUUGAGGUGGUUAUUUAUCUUCUUUUAUCUAUUUAAACCUUUAUACAUUUAUUUUAAUGUCUCCUCUGGAUAGUUCUAUUAUUUUUAGUUCUAGGGCGUGAAUUCUUUUUGUUAAAUUUUCUGACUUGACUGUUUUACUCUUAAGCAAUCUUCAUGGAGUUUAUGAAAUGAAUUGUCUUCUCAAAAUUCAUAAGUUGAAGUCCUCACCCCUGAUAAGACUGCAUUUGGAGACAGGGUUUUUAACAAGGUAAUUAAAGUAAUUAAGACUAAGGCUUUUCAAGAGGUCCUAAAGUUAGGGUCCUAAUCUAAGAAGCCUCACCAGAAACCAACCCUACCAACACUAUCUUGGACUUCCGGCCUCCAGAACUGUGAGCAAAAAUAAAUAUCUGUUGUUUAAGCCACCCAGUCUGUGGUACUGUCAUGACAGCCCAAGCUGACGUAUACAGGGGUCCUUCAAGAGCCCCAUUUGCAGCAACAUUCACUGAGUGCCAGUUCACAGUCACUUCUUUACUGUUGUCAUGGUCUGAGUUUAUAUUAGAAUUUUGUUAAUUUCUCAACUUGCCAUUCUCACAUAAAUACUAUAAAUUUGGAACUCACAUAUUUGCUUAAAGAUGUUUCAUGUUGCAUGUUUGUCACAUUUGACUCAUUUUCACUCAUGGCUAGUGGUCAGAAUUUUGCUUUCAAGGACAGAGUAGAAUACCUUCCUGUCUCAAAGCUUUUUGUGGCUAAUACACAUUCAGUCUCCUUGUGUAUGAAGCUUGUGACCCGCACUGCUCUCUGAGGGUACUAAAAUAUCAGACCCAGUAUUUAAGGUCUGUUUCCCAGUUCAGACACUGGGAAAUUGGGGCCUCUGAUUAUUGAUUUUUUUUUCUUUUGGCUUUUUAGAGCCGGCAGCAUAUGGAAGUUUCCAAGCUAGGGGUCAAAUCGGAGCUUCUGCUGUCGGCCAUAGCCACAGCAAUAGCAAUAUGGGAUCCAAGCCAUGUCUGCAACCUACAUACACCACAGCUCAUAGCAAUGCCAGAUCCCUGGCUCACUGAGCGAGGCCAGGAAUGGAACCCACAUCUUCAUGAACUCUAGUCAGAUUUGUUUCCACUGCACCACAACAGGAACUCCUAUUGAUCUUAUCUUGAAAAUAUUUCUUCAUUCUGGAAUUUAAGGAAUCCCUUUCUUGACUUUUACCCUAUGUAUUUCAAAAAACACUUCUUUCAUAAUUUUAUUUGGAGUGGAAAUGAAAUUCUUCUGCAUCAGCUUAAUUUCAAGUAAUGACCAAAUGUCUCAUAUUUUCCUUGUAUGUCAUUAUGCCACUUUUUUGUCCACAUCAUAUCUCUGACUGCUUAUAAUAAUAUGCCAAAGCUGAUUUCUCUUUCUCUAUGUAACAGUUAAAUAUUUUCAGAAAUUUAAAUAUUUCAGUCUCCUGAAAUGUUAUAAGUAACUCAUUUUUGAAAAUUCCUAUUUGAUAUCUUAACCUCCACAUUCAAUGGAAAGGCAAAUUCCAUCUACCCAGCCUUCUGAGCAUUAUCAUUUCACAGGAGCAACCAUCAAAUCCCACUUCUAGGGAGAUAGAGCAGCUUCUUGGAACUUUUAACUUGUCCCACUGGCCAAAUUAACAUCCAUGCCUCUAAUCAUUUUUGUCCUUCUCUAGUAUUCUCUUGGCUGCCAGAGGUAUUUUCAUUCUUUUUCUUGUUUUAAAUAACUAAUUCAUACUCUUUGAUCCCAUGGAUCUUUUCAAUGGAUUCCCCCCUUGCCUAUAGAAUAAAGUCCAAACUCUUUAAGUUGCAAAAACGAAUAUUCCUGUAAGAGCCUUGGCCUACUGGUCUAGCCUUAUUUUUCACAAGGAUCCGCAUCACCACGAUGAACUCCAGUUUAACUGACAUUUGUAGCGUUAUGUUUCCAACUUUGCUCAAACUAUUUCUUCUCCCUGAAGUUAUUUCUCCUUGUCCCCUCUCCUCAUCUUCAUCUCUACCUCACUUUCUCAAAUCUUUCAGUCUUUUCCAGGGAAAGUUGACAACAUCUUCCUUUGUAUCCCUGCCAGAAAUACUUCUCCUUGGUACUUACUAUAAUCUUCAUUCCACUGAAAUAAUAAUGCCUGCUUCCUAUUCUGAAAUUGUAAGAUCAUUUAAGUCAUGGUUUCUUUUCUUUUUCUUUUUUUUUUUUUUCCUUUAUGGCCAUACUGAUGGCAUAUGAAGUUUCCAGGCCAGGG